UACGUAGGGGGCAAGCGUUGUCCGGAAUUAUUGGGCGUAAAGCGCGCGCAGGCGGUUCUUUUAAGUCUGGUGUUUAAACCCGAGGCUCAACUUCGGGUCGCACUGGAAACUGGGGGGACUUGAGUGCAGAAGAGGAGAGUGGAAUUCCACGUGUAGCGGUGAAAUGCGUAGAUAUGUGGAGGAACACCAGUGGCGAAGGCGACUCUCUGGGCUGUAACUGACGCUGAGGCGCGAAAGCGUGGGGAGCAAACAGG
rnacentral:rRNA from 1 species